UUUCUUAAGCAUGUAGAAUAUCCUAUCUCAUGUACAUAUUCAUGUAACAACAUAUUUUCAUCAUUCACCAACACAACCAAUCACAUAUGCACAUAGACUCACUAUCAUAUCACAUAACACCGUUCAGUCACAAUCACGAAAGGAGAUGAUAAUUCGCACUAUCAACGUGGACUAAAUCAUAGCUUCCACAAGUCAUAGUUACAGUCAUAGUUAUAAUUUUACAUCAUCCUCUAGGGAUAUAAUCAUAGUUACAGUCAUAAUUACAAUUCACAUCAUCCCUCAGGGACACAAUCAUAGUUACAGUCAUAGUUAUAGAGCAAUAAGCGGUCCAUGAGAUAGAGUUCAAGAUCAUCUCAUACUGAUCCGGAACUUCACAUUUACUCACAACACCCCGAUAAGAAAUCCUUAUUGCUUACCCUGUGUAUUUACUAGGACAGUCUAC
rnacentral:lncRNA from 1 species